ensembl:lncRNA
CAAAAUUGCUUAACAAUGUAUUUUUCCUGGGCCAUAAAGGGUGAACUCGCGACGAUUCCAGCCAUCCUGCUGGCUCGGCAAUUGUUCAGAUUCAGCCGGUUUUUGUGACCCUAUUGCUGAGAAAGGAAAAGAGGUUUUCUGUGAAAAAAAAUGAUUCAGUCCAUGUGAUGGCAAACAAAUCAUCCUUGGUUUUGAGGAGGACUGCUGCAACAGAGAUAAUAGGAUUUCCCAUGAGUGGAAGCCUUCCCUGUUGGGGUACCAACAGAAAAACAAGUGGAGAUGUAGUCCUGCUACCCACAGGCAACCAAUGGAAAACUACAGAAGGAUCUCAGUUAGAUCUGAUCCUACAGAAGGAUCUGAGUUAUAAACUCAGUCUUCCUAGUCAAAAGAUUUUGAACCCAAGCAAGUAUGGCAAGAUCUAUUUAGCUGGAAUGAGUAAAAGGAACUGGAAUAACUUAAAAAAAAAAAAAAAACAACAGUCUCUCUCCUUACGGAAAAACUUGGUCUCUUUAUGCCUGGUUAAUUAAUAUCCUCACAAGUCCAAAACAAGAGUUGAAAAGAGAAGCCUUGCCAACAGAGAACAUCAGCACUUUUUAAUUAUGCUCUUUGUGGUAAAAGGUGGGCCGGUGAGAUGACCUACAGGAGGAAGUCAGCACUUUUUGAUUUCCAUGGACAUAAAUAGGAGCCAUUACUUUCAGAGUGACGUAUGUAUCACUGGAAAUACCUAGAGGAGACACCAAGCAAAAUGGAAAGUCUAUGGUCCACCACCAACUGACAGAAGAACUUAAGAUACUGGAAUGAGAAGCUGGGGCCCCAUGUGUGAAACAAGCUUUGCAUUACUCAAUUUAUAGGAACUGAAAACAUUCAGCUUUCUGUUCUACUUACAGAGUAAUGUUUCAGAGAGGAAGAAAUGCAGUGCCCCAUUUUGGGACGUCCAUUUUGACUCAUAGCAUUUGCACACCGAACAGUUUCCUUCAAGAAAUAAACUUUAUCCAAGGAGCAGCUAGAUGCCUGUGUAAGUCCCAUUUCAGACUAUUCAACAUCACACAUGAAAGAAGUUUCACCUAAACUCUGUAGGUGCUGGAUUUUAUUAAAGUUUUUGUUCACUCCCUCUUGUUAUCAAAUCUAUUGCCCUCUAAGGCAGUUUUGUCACAUCAACCUUCUCUUUAUUACGGAAAAAGAGUGUUCUCCCUAUUGUUAAGGUUGCAACCAGCUUUUAAAGUCCUAUUUUUGCCCUUCUUUAACUUUUGCUUGGAAAUUGGUUUGGCCUGAAAAUUUCCAUACUUUGAAGAAAAAGAAGGAUAAUUAAUUUUCUUCAAACAGUGUAUAAUCAAACUAUUUUUGAUUUAGAGGUCAUUUAAAAAUUACCCUGAUUAGAAAUUUACUUAAUGUUUUGCUACCUCUAACUCAAAAGCUGCUUAUUAUAGCCCCUUCAAACUGCCCUGUAUUUAGAUC